CCUACGGGUGGCAGCAGUGGGGAAUAUUGGACAAUGGGCGAAAGCCUGAUCCAGCCAUGCCGCGUGUGUGAAGAAGGCCUUCGGGUUGUAAAGCACUUUCAGUGGGGAAGAAAGCCUUGGGGCUAAUACCCUCGAGGAAGGACACCACCCACAGAAGAAGCACCGGCUAACUCCGUGCCAGCAGCCGCGGUAAUACGGAGGGUGCGAGCGUUAAUCGGAAUUACUGGGCGUAAAGCGCGCGUAGGCGGUCUGAUAAGCCGGUUGUGAAAGCCCCGGGCUCAACCUGGGAACGGCAUCCGGAACUGUCAGGCUAGAGUGCAGGAGAGGAAGGUAGAAUUCCCGGUGUAGCGGUGAAAUGCGUAGAGAUCGGGAGGAAAACCAGUGGCGAAGGCGGUCUUCUGGACUGACACUGACGCUGAGGUGCGAAAGCGUGGGUAGCAAACAGGAUUAGAUACCCUAGUAGUC
rnacentral:rRNA from 1 species